UCGGCACCCGCCGGCAGGCCGAGCGCUGACGUCCCGCCCUCCCGGAGGGGCUGGGCGCCCGAUCCCUCCUUCCCCUAGCUCCAGGCACCCGGCAGAAGUGCUCGGGAGCUGUUCCUCGAUGCGGCUGCACGGCGUCCCGAUGUAUCAUGGAAGCAGCUUAAGACGGGAGUGGGAAGGGCAGAAACAUGCUCCAGACACAUCAACCAACAUAAACUCUUGAAAUUUUGCUAUAGGAUUGAUCUGAGAUGGGCUUUUUGACAGUUCCUGCCAAUGAGAGGGAAGUAUAGUCAGCCAGGGGCUUCUGGGAAAGAUGGUAUGGAAGAUCUCUUUUGCCCUUUCUUUCCUGCCUGUAACACUGCUGUAUGAGGUACAAUGUUGGAGCUGCCUCAGCCAUCUGGUGAUUUGAAGGGAGACUGAGGAUGACUGAGCAGAAAGAAAGAAAGAGACACUGCACCAUGCCGGGAUUGUCUUCAUGCAGACUGUCGAAAAAUAGAUCUCAGAAAAUGUUUUUGGUCUUCAGAGAUGAUUAAGAUGAAGUCAUCGGGUGGGCCCUAAUCCAAUAGGACUGUGUGUUUAUAAAAUGGGGAGAUUUGGACACAGAAACACACACACACACACACUGGGAGAACGCCAUGUGAAGAUGAAGGCAGAGAUUGGACUGAUGCUUCUACAAACCAAGGAACGCCAAAGACUGCCAGCAAACCACCAGGAGCUAGGAGAGAGGCGUGGAACAAAGGCUCCCUCACAGCUGUCAAGAGAACCAGGCUGCCAACACCCUGAUCUUGGACUUCUAACCCCAGAGCUGUGAUACAACAAAUAGCUGUUGUUUAAGCCACACAGUUUGUGGUACUUUCUUGUCGCAGUCCUACAGACUAAAAUACCAGGUAGUCAAGAAGUAGAAACUCAGCAGAUAGAAUAAAUAACUCAGCAGUCUUAAAUUUUUGACUUGGGAGAACCCAUUAUGUUUGUUUAUUAAUAACAUUAAUUUCAGUCUUUUUUCAAAAAAAUUUUUUAUUGUGGUC
rnacentral:lncRNA from 1 species